rnacentral:rRNA from 1 species
CGGGUGAGUAAUACAUCGGAACGUGCCCAGUAGUGGGGAUAACCCGGCGAAAGCCGGACUAAUACCGCAUACGACCUACGGGUGAAAGCAGGGGAUCGCAAGACCUUGCGCUAUUGGAGCGGCCGAUGUCAGAUUAGCUUGUUGGCGGGGUAAAAGCCCACCAAGGCGACGAUCUGUAGCUGGUCUGAGAGGACGACCAGCCACACUGGGACUGAGACACGGCCCAG